rnacentral:rRNA from 1 species
AUACGUAGGGAGCGAGCGUUGUCCGGAAUUACUGGGUGUAAAGGGUGCGUAGGCGGGACUGCAAGUCAGAUGUGAAAUGCCGGGGCUCAACCCCGGAGCUGCAUUUGAAACUGUGGUUCUUGAGUGAGGUAGAGGUAAGUGGAAUUCCUAGUGUAGCGGUGAAAUGCGUAGAUAUUAGGAGGAACAUCGGUGGCGAAGGCGGCUUACUGGGCCUUUACUGACGCUGAGGCACGAAAGCGUGGGGAGCAAACAGGAUUAGAUACCCUGGUAGUCCACGCUGUAAACGAUGAUGACUAGGUGUGGGGGGACUGAACCCUUCCGUGCCGCAGUUAACACAAUAAGUCAUCCACCUGGGGAGUACGGCCGCAAGGUUGAAACUCAAAUGAAUCGGCGGGG